GGGUUUAACUCCUGCUUGUUACCGUUUCAUCUGGCCGAAGCCGGAUGUCGUUUUGGUGUCUGAUUCGGUAAGAAUCGGGAGCACCAUCUGCGUAGGCGGCCCAGGAUUGCUCCCAGGGUUUAAGGCUUGCGCCACCUACGGUCUUGGAUAGCCCCCGCCAGGCAGGGACCCCAAAGUGUCGAAGCAGCGCAAUCACUUGCGCUA
rnacentral:sRNA from 2 species